rnacentral:rRNA from 1 species
AGGACGAACGCUGGCGGCGUACCUAACACAUGCAAGUCGAACGGGACCAGGGGCAACUCUGGUUCAGUGGCGGACGGGUGCGUAACACGUGAGGAACAUGACUUUCGGUGGGGGAUAGCCGGCCCAACGGCCGGGUAAUACCGCGUACGACCUCUUGGGGACAUCCCCGAGUGGUGAAAGCAGCAAUGCGCCGAAAGAGUGCCUCGCGGCCUAUCAGCUAGUUGGUGAGGUAAUGGCUCACCAAGGCGACGACGGGUAGCUGGUCUGAGAGGAUGGCCAGCCACAGUUGGGACUGAGACACGGCCCAGACUCCUACGGGAGGCAGCAGGUGGGGAAUAGUUGCGACGAAGUGGGACGAAAGGCCUGGACGCAGGCCGACGCCGCGUGGUGGAUGGACGGCCUUUACGGGUAGUAAACC